rnacentral:lncRNA from 1 species
CCGGACACCGCAGAGCACCCUCAGAUCGAGGGAAGGCAGUUUCUCCAAGAUCACAUGAUGACAUGAUUUCAUGUCUGAAGCAAGAAAGAUUGAUUUAAUAGAACCAGAAAGAAGUGUGUGAGAUUUCCCUGUCCACAGAUUUUGCAGGAAAGGACCGAGAAGCCCCCCUUUCCCUUGCGCCCUGAGCGAAAUGGUUAACUUCGACUCACAGGGGAG